CAAUAGCGUAUAUUAAAGCUGUUGCGGUUAAAAAGCUCGUAGUUGGAUUUCUGUCAAGGACAACUGGUCCGCCCCUCGGGUGAGCACAUAGUUUGGUCUUGGCAUCUUGUUGGAAACUGUUGCUGCAUUUGGUUGUGUGGCGCAGUGUCCAGCACUUUCACUUUGAGGAAAUUGGAGUGUUUCAAGCAGGCACAUGCCUUUGGACACAGUAGCAUGGAAUAAUUAGAUUGGGCUUUUGCUCCAACUUGUCGGUUUCUGGAGCUGAGGUGAGAAUUAAUGGGGAUUGUUGGGGGCAUCCGAAUUUAGCCGUCAGAGGUGAAAUUCUUGGAUCUGCUAAAGACGGACAACUGCGAAAGCGUUUGCCCAGGAUGUUUUCAUUGA
rnacentral:rRNA from 1 species